rnacentral:rRNA from 1 species
UACGGAGGGUGCAAGCGUUAUUCGGAUUUACUGGGCGUAAAGGGUGCGUAGGCUGUUUUUUAAGUUAGGCGUGAAAGCCCCAGGCUCAACCUGGGAACUGCGCUUAAUACUGGAGAACUUGAGUACGAGAGAGGAAAAUGGAAUUCCUAGUGUAGAGGUGAAAUUCGUAGAUAUUAGGAAGAACACCAGUGGCGAAGGCG